GAUGAACGCUGGCGGCGUGCCUAACACAUGCAAGUCGAACGGAGAUUAUUCGCUGCGGAGCCUUCGGGCGAAGCUUGAAUGAUCUUAGUGGCGGACGGGUGAGUAACGCGUGGGCAACCUGCCUUGCACAGGGGGAUAGCAGUUGGAAACGACUGGUAAUACCGCAUAUCUUAGAGAGACCGCAUGAUCUUUUUAAGAAAACGUUAGUGGUGCAAGAUGGGCCCGCGUCCGAUUAGAUAGUUGGUGGGGUAACGGCCUACCAAGUCGACGAUCGGUAGCCGACCUAAGAGGGCGGACGGCCACAUUGGGACUGAGACACGGCCCAGACUCCUACGGGAGGCAGCAGUGGGGAAUAUUGCACAAUGGAGGGAACUCUGAUGCAGCGACGCCGCGUGAGUGAAGAAGUAUUUCGGUAUGUAAAGCUCUAUCAGUAGGGAAGAUAAUGACGGUACCUACAUAAGAAGCCCCGGCUAAAUACGUGCCAGCAGCCGCGGUAAUACGUAUGGGGCAAGCGUUAUCCGGAUUUACUGGGUGUAAAGGGAGCGUAGGCGGCAGUACAAGUCGGGAGUGAAAACUCGGGGCUCAACCCCGAGACUGCUCUCGAAACUGUACAGCUAGAGUGCAGGAAGGGGCAGGCGGAAUUCCUGGUGUAGCGGUGAUAUGCGUAGAUAUCAUGAGGAACACCGGUGGCGAAGGCGGCCUGCUGGACUGUAACUGACGCUGAGGCUCGAAAGCGUGGGGAGCGAACAGG
rnacentral:rRNA from 2 species